ACGUAGGGACCAAGCGUUGUUCGGAAUUACUGGGCGUAAAGGGUGCGCAGGCGGUUUUGUAAGUCAGAUGUGAAAUCCCCGGGCUUAACCUGGGAAUUGCGUUUGAAACUAUAAGACUAGAGUGCAAGAGAGGGGAGUGGAAUUCCAUGUGUAGCAGUGAAAUGCGUAGAGAUGUGGAAGAACACCGAUGGCGAAGGCAGCUCCCUGGAUUGACACUGACGCUCAUGCACGAAAGCGUGGGGAGCAAACAGG
rnacentral:rRNA from 1 species